GAUGAAGAACGUAGCGAAAUGCGAUAAGUAAUGUGAAUUGCAGAAUUCAGUGAAUCAUCGAAUCUUUGAACGCACAUUGCGCCCGCCAGUAUUCUGGCGGGCAUGCCUGUCUGAGCGUCAUUUCAACCCUCAUGCCCCUAGGGCGUGGUGUUGGGGAUCGGCCAAAGCCCGCGAGGGACGGCCGGCCCCUAAAUCUAGUGGCGGACCCGUCGUGGCCUCUUCUGCGAAGUAGUGAUAUUCCGCAUCGGAGAGCGACGAGCCCCUGCCGUUAAACCCCCAACUUUCCAAGGUUGACCUCAGAUCAGGUAGGAAUACCCGCUGAACUUAAGCAUAUCAAUAAGCGGAGGA
rnacentral:misc_RNA from 1 species